AGGAUAAACGCUGGCGGCGUGCAUGAGACAUGCAAGUCGAACGGACGACUCGGGCUUGCUCGAGUCGUUAGUGGCGAACGGCUGAGUAACGCGUAGGUGACCUGCCCCGAAGUGGGGAAUAACUGCCCGAAAGGGUGGCUAAUACCGCAUGUGGUCGCACGUUCACUCGUGCGAGUAAAGCCGCAAGGCGCUUCGGGAGGGGCCUGCGUCCGAUUAGCUCGUUGGUGGGGUAACGGCUCACCAAGGCGACGAUCGGUAGUGGUCUGAGAGGACGAUCACCCAGACUGGGACUGAGACACGGCCCAGACUCCUACGGGAGGCAGCAGUCGGGAAUUUUGCUCAAUGGGCGAAAGCCUGAAGCAGCAACGCCGCGUGAGGGAUGACGGCCUUCGGUUGUAAACCUCUUUUCUCAGGGACGAUGAUGACGGUACCUGAGGAAUAAGCCACGGCAAACUACGCGCCAGCAGCCGC
rnacentral:rRNA from 1 species